UACGGGGGGGGCAAGCGUUGUUCGGAAUUACUGGGCGUAAAGGGCUCGUAGGCGGCCAACUAAGUCGGACGUGAAAUCCCCAGGCUCAACUCCAGAACUGCCUUUGAUACUGGGAAGCUUGAGUCCGGAAGAGGUGAGUGGAACUCCGAGUGUAGAGGUGAAAUUCGUAGAUAUUCGGAAGAACACCAGUGGCGAAGGCGGCUCACUGGUCCGGUACUGACGCUGAGGUGCGAAAGCGUGGGGAGCAAACAGG
rnacentral:rRNA from 1 species